rnacentral:lncRNA from 1 species
CGGUUUUUCAGCGGGGAGGCGAGGUGGAGUGGAGGGUUGGCCGCUCCGCCUCACUGAGCUGGCUCAGCCAGCGCAGGUGUUCCUGGAACGCCAGUCCCUUAGGAUGGGAGAGAGUGAAGAAGGCAAAGAGAAUAAAACAGACUGAAUGGGAAAGAGACUGAAUAGAUUCUAAUAUGGCUACAUCCUGGUGGGAGGCAGGACACUGAAGUACUUAGAAUCCCUCAGAAUGGCCAGAUCCUGUUCAUGCUUGGGCUAGAAGAAUGGAACCUUUGUAAUUCCGGACUUGUAAAUGGAAACACAUCACUUGCUGUGAACCACAUCCCAGACAGACAUGGGCAGGUGAAAAGAAAUUCUUCCAGAUGGCCUGACAGCACCUGUCUACAGUACAGUAUCGAGGCACACAGACCUUGGAUAUAAAAGAGAAUAUUACAAAUACUGCAGAGACACGAGGAUUAGCUGUUUGUUUGUUUAAGGGCAUAACAUCCAGAAGAAAUGGUUAGUAGUAUUUCUUUACUGCUUGAGUACAUUUGAUCAUCAGAUGGCCGAUCAUAUAAUUGGGUUUAUUCAAGAAUAUUUUUUUUCUGUAAAAUAUAAAGUGAAUAACUUAUCUAAUUUUGAUAACUGAAAGCCCAGGAAGCAGCAGCUUAAACCAUAAGAGCAUAUACUGUUUAUCUGAAGAGAGAGAAGGUGGUUCCAAGUGUUCUCCAAAGCCCCAUGAUGUCAGGACGUGGGUCAGCAUCUCUACGGCUCUCCUGCCUCUCUCUCGUGGGUGCAAAGUGGCUUCUCACAUCUCAACAUGCCAAGGCGGGAAGCAGGGAUACAAGGGCAAGGAAAGAGCUAAUCUCUUCUACAGAGAAGGAAACAUCGUUCCCACAAGCCUGGCACCCUGCCCUUCACUCUCCAUGUGAUGGGACCACAGGCCCCCUCCCAGCUGCAGAAUGUUUGGGAAGAGGGUGCCUGGUUCUCUGGCCUCUGUAGCUGGACACAGGCACUGGAGAAAGAGAUGGGAAUGGCCGAUGGGUAGCCAUUUCUAUCGUGAUACAGUCAAAUAACAGGACUUUUAAAAGGAAAUAAUUUCUUGAGAAUAGCAGAGCACACCACUAUGCUUGAAUAAAAAUAAAUGGUAACUGGAUUUCCUGAACUGUUAAAUUAAACAUGCAUUGCUGAUUUCCUCUUUCUGCAGCUGCUCUGCUUCUAACUAUCCAUCUCUUCUGUCUGUGGCUCAAGAUCCAUCAUCUUCAAAUAUAAAAUCCUUCUUAUGGUUUUAUUUGUCCUUUGUUUGCUGGUCUCUCCUUGCCUGCGUUCAAUAUUUUUGGCUUUCUUCCCUUGCUUUGCUGGGACGUGUGAUUUAUCCUAUCACCGGAGAUCUCUGUGAGAAAGCACUGGAUAUUUAUUUGCCUGCAUAUGUCAGAAGCUCCAGGCAGGGCUGCCUCAUCCCACAACUUCAGGGGAGCCAUUCAUUUCCAUGUGCCUUGCACAGCCUGUGUGGCCACAAGUGGCAGCACUGGAUCUGGGCAGCAGAGAAAUGGUUUCACUGGAAAAGACACAGUUUUAAAUUCUCCUUUCCAAUAUAAAUCUAUUUUCAGCAUUAUCACUCCC